rnacentral:rRNA from 1 species
GGUUCGAAGUGCAAACUCAAAUUGAACGCUGGCGGGAUGCUUUACAUGCAGAAUCAACCUUUGGACUUCGGUCUGGUGGCGAGUGGCGAACAGGUGAGUAAUGUAUCUGGAACGUGCCGCCUGAUAGCGGGGAUAACUUACGCGGCGUAGCUAAUACGCAUACGCCCUUCGGGGGAAAGCGGGGGACCUUCGGGCACUCCACUAUUGAAACGGCCGAUAUCGGAUUGGCUAGUUGGUGGGGUAACGGCUCACAAGGCGACGAUCCGUAAGCCUGGUUAGAGAAGAGACAGCAAACACCAUGGGACUGAGACACGGCCCAGACUCCUACGGGAGGCAGCAGUGGGGAAUUUUGGACCGUGGAAACCUGAUCCAUGCAUCGCGUGUGCGAUGAAGGCCCUUCGGGUUGUAAAGCACUGCAGCGGAAAGAAACGGCGCAGGAUAAUACCCGAUACGGCAAUGACCUGAGAGAAUAAGCGCAAGCCAACUACGUUACCGUGACGCGAUGACACGUAGGGUGCAAGCGUUAAUCGGAAUUACUGGGCACUCCGGCGUUCGCGGGCGGUUUCGGAAGAAGCGUCGCCACAAUCUGAGCUUAACUUUGGAACUGCAUUUUUAACUACCGAGCUAGAGUGUGUCGGGGGAGGUGGAGUAUAACGGUAAAUGCUAGAUAUGCGGAGGAACUGCCGAUGGCGAAGAGCAGCCUCCUCAGGAUAGCACUGACGCUCAUCACACGAAAGCAAUGGGGAGCAAACGGGAUUGGAGCUCUUUUAAUGCGUCGCCUCUUGAUGUCUAUAACUAACUGUCUUGGGGCCUUCGGAGCAUGAAGUAGCGCAGCUAACGUAAAGUUGACCGCCACCAGAGAUACGGUCGCAAGAUUAAAACUCAAAGGAAUUAGACAGAGAUAUAUAAACAGUGAACAAUCGGAUUAAUUCGAUGCAACGCGAAAACCUUACCUGCCCUUGACAUGUCUGGAAUCCCGAAGAGAUUUGGGAGUGCUCACAAGAAGAGCCGGAACACAGGUGCUGCAUGGCUGUCGUCGCUCGUGUCGUGAGAUGUUGGGUUAAGUCGCAACGAAGCGCAACCCAUAUCGUGGGUGCUACGAAAGGAGCCUCUGUGAGACUGCCGGUGACAAACCGGAGGAAGAUUGAGAUGACGUCAAUCGCGGCCCUUAUGGGUAGGAGAAACACCACCCGUCAUACAAUGGUCAGAACAGAGAAUCGCCAACCCGCGAGAGGGGAGCCAAUCCCAGAAACCCGUCGUAGUCCAGAUCCGCAGUCUGCAACUCGACUGCGUGAAGUCGGAAUCUAGUAAUCGCGGAUCAGCAUGUCGCGGUGAAUACGUUCCCGGGUCUUGUACACCGCCCGUCACGCGGGAGUGGGUUUUGCCAAAUGGUCGCCUAAUAACAUGGGAGGGCGAUUACUACGAUAGGAUUCACCGACUAGGGUGAAGUCGUAACAAGGUAAUAUAUUUUUCGAUGCUCAGGAGCAAUACGUGGCUUUU